GAUUAAUACCUGAUAGUAUGGUGAGAUUGCAUGAUAACACCAUUAAAGAUUUAUUGGUAAACGAUGGGGAUGCGUUCCAUUAGGUAGUAGGCGGGGUAACGGCCCACCUAGCCUGCGAUGGAUAGGGGUUCUGAGAGGAAGAUCCCCCACAUUGGAACUGAGACACGGUCCAAACUCCUACGGGAGGCAGCAGUGAGGAAUAUUGGUCAAUGGGCGAGAGCCUGAACCAGCCAAGUAGCGUGAAGGACGAAGGUCCUACGGAUUGUAAACUUCUUUUAUACGGGAAUAAAGUUUCCUACGUGUAGGAUUUUGUAUGUACCGUAUGAAUAAGCAUCGGCUAACUCCGUGCCAGCAGACGCGGUAAUACGGAGGAUGCGAGCGUUAUCCGGAUUUAUUGGGUUUAAAGGGAGCGCAGACGGGAGAUUAAGUCAGUUGUGAAAGUUUGCGGCUCAACCGUAAAAUUGCAGUUGAUACUGGUUUCCUUGAGUGCAGUUGAGGCAGGCGGAAUUCGUGGUGUAGCGGUGAAAUGCUUAGAUAUCACGAAGAACCCCGAUUGCGAAGGCAGCUUGCUAAACUGUAACUGACGUUCAUGCUCGAAAGUGUGGGUAUCAAACAGGAUUAGAUACCCUGGUAGUCCACACGGUAAACGAUGGAUACUCGCUGUUGGCGAUAUACUGUCAGCGGCCAAGCGAAAGCAUUAAGUAUCCCACCUGGGGAGUCCCCCGAAA
rnacentral:rRNA from 1 species